GACGAACGCUGGCGGCGUGCUUAACACAUGCAAGUCGAACGCUGAAGCUCAGCUUUUGUUGGGUGGAUGAGUGGCGAACGGGUGAGUAACACGUGAGUAACCUGCCCCCUUCUUUGGGAUAACGCCCGGAAACGGGUGCUAAUACUGGAUAUUCACUGGUCUUCGCAUGGGGGUUGGUGGAAAGGGUUUUUCUGGUGGGGGAUGGGCCCGCGGCCUAUCAGCUUGUUGGUGGGGUGAUGGCCUACCAAGGCUUUGACGGGUAGCCGGCCUGAGAGGGUGACCGGUCACAUUGGGACUGAGAUACGGCCCAGACUCCUACGGGAGGCAGCAGUGGGGCCUCUUGCCCCCUGGGCGCCCGCCUGCUGCAGCGACGCCGCGUGAGGGAUGGAGGCCUUCGGGUUGUGAACCUCUUUCGCUCAUGGUCAAGCCGCAACCCUGGUUGUGGUGAGGGUAGUGGGUAAAGAAGCGCCGGCUCACUACGUG
rnacentral:rRNA from 1 species